rnacentral:rRNA from 1 species
UACGGGGGGGGCAAGCGUUGUUCGGAAUUACUGGGCGUAAAGGGCUCGUAGGCGGCCAACUAAGUCGGAUGUGAAAUCCCCAGGCUUAACCUGGGAACUGCAUCCGAUACUGGAUGGCUUGAAUCCGGGAGAGGGAUGCAGAAUUCCAGGUGUAGCGGUGAAAUGCGUAGAUAUCAGGAGGAACACCGGUGGCGAAGGCGGGUCUCUGGGCCGAUACUGACGCUGAGGAGCGAAAGCGUGGGGAGCGAACAGG